rnacentral:rRNA from 1 species
AGAGUUUGAUCCUGGCUCAGAUUGAGCGCUGGCGGCAGGCUUAACACAUGCAAGUCGAGCGGAAACAGAGAUAGCUUGCUAUCAGAUGUCGAGCGGCGGACGGGUGAGUAACGCGUAGGAAUCUACCUAUUAGUGGGGGAUAGCCAUUGGAAACGAUGAUUAAUACCGCAUACGCCCUACGGGGGAAAGGAGGGGACUCUUCGGAGCCUUUCGCUAAUAGAUGAGCCUGCGUAAGAUUAGCUAGAUGGUAGGGUAAUGGCCUACCAUGGCGACGAUCUUUAGCUGGUUUGAGAGGAUGAUCAGCCACACUGGGACUGAGACACGGCCCAGACUCCUACGGGAGGCAGCAGUGGGGAAUAUUGCACAAUGGGCGCAAGCCUGAUGCAGCCAUGCCGCGUGUGUGAAGAAGGCCUUCGGGUUGUAAAGCACUUUCAGCUGUGAGGAAAGGUUGAAUAUUAAUACUAUUUAGCUGUGACGUUAACAGCAGAAGAAGCACCGGCUAACU